rfam:Gorilla gorilla gorilla genomic chromosome, chr10, whole genome shotgun sequence
GCUGGGCGUGGUGGCUCACGCCUGUAAUCCCAGCACUUUGGGAGGCCGAGGUGGGUGGAUCACCUGAGGUCGGGAGUUCGAGACCAGCCUGACCAACAUGGAGAAACCCGUCUCUA